rnacentral:rRNA from 1 species
AUGUUCGCGUUUUUUUUCAGGGUGAAGAAGACUACCACACGUGUGACCAAGCAGAACCCCCGAGACCCACUCGAACGCAUACACUCAAAGCUAUCGACAGGUGGCAACUCAGACGUUCAUGAGGCGCUAGUGGACAAACCUGCUGCUGCACUGUCCACUGUUCCCACUAGCUCUGAUGCAAGCGGCCGACCAUCUCCGCCAGUUGCAGAUGUGCAGGCUACGACAGCAGGCAUCCGUACAUCUGGGAGUGAUGAGUCGGUAUCUGCCAGGACUGCUGAAAUAUUGCCCACUCUGCCGGCAAUGAAGGAUGUUGCUGUGAGCCAUGCCACCCGAUCAGCAAGUGUUGAAGUGGACGCCCCGAGAUCAACCUAA